rnacentral:misc_RNA from 1 species
UCGCGGAUCAGCACGCCGCGGUGAAUACGUUCCCGGGCCUUGUACACACCGCCCGUCACACCAUGAGAGUCUGUAACACCCAAAGCCGGUGGGAUAACCUUUAUAGGAGUCAGCCGUCUAAGGUAGGACAGAUGAUUAGGGUGAAGUCGUAACAAGGUAGCCGUAGGAGAACCUGCGGCUGGAUCACCUCCUUUCUAAGGAAGGCGAAAGAUGAUGGAGAGUGCGAGAGCACUAAGAGAAGUCAUCGAGAAAGCCAAGCGGAAGCACACUGAGAAACUUUGUUUAGUUUUGAGGGUAAUACCUCAAGAGCUAGUACAUUGAAAACUGAAUAUAAUCAAAAGCAAAAAACCGAGACAAUCGAAAAAACAGAUUGAAGAGCGACCGAGAAGAGAGAGAAACUCAACUUGAAAUAGGUCAAGUAGAAAAGGGCGCAUGGUGAAUGCCUUGGCACUAGAAGCCGAUGAAGGACGUGACGAACCACGAAAGGCUUCGGGGAGCAGUAAGUAAGCAAUGAUCCGGAGAUAUCCG